GGAGAGGUAGUAACCUUUUCUUACUACUGGUGUGUGCCAAGCCGAGUGCCAGGCACUGAGGGAGCCUGAAAUCCUGAUUAGACCAUGGAGAAGCCUGCCCCAGUGAAUGAGAUGGUCGACGUUUCCCAUUCACCCUUUGGUCACCUGUGCGGCUGGGCUCACUGCAGUCUGAGGAGACCAUGGUCCUUGGAGGCCAUGUGGGGGCCUGACCUCUUCCUUUUAGCUCAGCUUCUAGGACAGCCAACCCCAUCCCAAAAAUAUUCCGAGGAAUCCAGAUAAAAAGAGAUGAAAGGAAGAGGAUCAAUAGCAAAGACCAGGUUGAGAAAGAUGUUCCUAAACUCAGAUUUAUUGUCUUAAUUUCCUGACCAGGUUUGACUCUUGGGUGUGUAUGGUUCCCUUCCACCUCCACACAUGCUUAGGCUCUCUAGGGCCUCUGAGUCCCACCUCCUGAGAGCUGUGGUUUGAACCAUGUUCUAGGCUGGACAAGCGUGGUUUUCCGUGUGUCCUCCCUACUCCUGUAGAAAAGCUGUCGAGGUCCUGCAGCAAGUUUUCAGCAGCUGUCAGCAGGCUCGGUCCACAGCGAGCUGGGAGGAGAGGGGUUCAUCCUUGGGAGGAUGUGGGGACAUGAAGGGAGCAGGAGUGUGGCUCUGCCUGCCCUGACUCCACCUCACACAGUUCUUACUCACAUGCCCUCCUUAAGUUUCUCCCUCUCUCCUAGAUCCAGAUACUGCUCUUUCCUGGCAUUCACCUUGCCAACAAAUCGGGAACUGAAAAUGACAGUAUGUACCUGGGCACGUGGUCUGCCUCAUUAACCAGAGAAGCAGCUAAGAGGGCAGUGAGAUAUUGAGCUUCUGGCAAUUUCAAAUGUGCAUCAUUCAGUGGUUCCACACACAGGCCUGGAGCACCCUGGACCUCUGAGGACCUCUCCUGGAGGUGGAGGAUUCAGAAUGAGCCCGAGAGGUAGGGCCAGUGUGUCUGCUUGCAGGGUUGUGGGCAGAGCACUGAACCAACAGGCCUGAGGUCCAUUCGGAGACAGACUCCCGGGUGCUGGCUUCUGUGGACCUGGCUCUUCUGCAGGAGCAGUUGGUGUGUCGCCCACCCUCCCUGAG
ensembl:lncRNA